CAGUAGCCGCGGUAAUACGUAGGUGGCAAGCGUUGUCCGGAAUUAUUGGGCGUAAAGGGCUCGCAGGAGGUUUCUUAAGUCUGAUGUGAAAGCCCCCGGCUCAACCGGGGAGGGUCAUUGGAAACUGGGAAACUUGAGUGCAGAAGAGGAGAGUGGAAUUCCACGUGUAGCGGUGAAAUGCGUAGAGAUGUGGGGGAACACCAGUGGCGAAGGCGACUCUCUGGUCUGUAACUGACGCUGAGGAGCGAAAGCGUGGGGAGCGAACAGGAUUAGAUACCCCAGUAGUCCCUGUCUCUUAUAC
rnacentral:rRNA from 1 species